rnacentral:rRNA from 1 species
CCUACGGGUGGCAGCAGUGAGGAAUAUUGGUCAAUGGACGAGAGUCUGAACCAGCCAAGUAGCGUGAAGGAUGACUGCCCUAUGGGUUGUAAACUUCUUUUAUAUGGGAAUAAAAUGUUCCACGUGUGGGAUUUUGUAUGUACCAUAUGAAUAAGGAUCGGCUAACUCCGUGCCAGCAGCCGCGGUAAUACGGAGGAUCUGAGCGUUAUCCGGAUUUAUUGGGUUUAAAGGGAGCGUAGGUGGAUUGUUAAGUCAGUUGUGAAAGUUUGCGGCUCAACCGUAAAAUUGCAGUUGAAACUGGCAGUCUUGAGUACAGUAGAGGUGGGCGGAAUUCGUGGUGUAGCGGUGAAAUGCUUAGAUAUCACGAAGAACUCCGAUUGCGAAGGCAGUUCACUGGACUGCAACUGACACUGAGGCUCGGAAGUGUGGGUAUCAAACAGGAUUAGAUACCCGAGUAGUC